GUGGUAAUGCCGGAUGCUCCGACUCCUCGCAUGGGGUGUCGGGAAAGAUUUCAUCGGUAUGGGAUGGGGUCGCGUCCUAUCAGGUAGUCGGCGGGGUAACGGCCCACCGAGCCUACGACGGGUAGCCGGCCUGAGAGGGCGACCGGCCACAUUGGGACUGAGAUACGGCCCAGACUCCUACGGGAGGCAGCAGUGGGGAAUAUUGCACAAUGGGCGCAAGCCUGAUGCAGCGACGCCGCGUGCGGGAUGACGGCCUUCGGGUUGUAAACCGCUUUUGAUCGGGAGCAAGCCUUCGGGUGAGUGUACCUUUCGAAUAAGCACCGGCUAACUACGUGCCAGCAGCCGCGGUAAUACGUAGGGUGCAAGCGUUAUCCGGAAUUAUUGGGCGUAAAGGGCUCGUAGGCGGUUCGUCGCGUCCGGUGUGAAAGUCCAUCGCUUAACGGUGGAUCUGCGCCGGGUACGGGCGGGCUGGAGUGCGGUAGGGGAGACUGGAAUUCCCGGUGUAACGGUGGAAUGUGUAGAUAUCGAAGAGAGA
rnacentral:rRNA from 1 species